rnacentral:rRNA from 1 species
UACGUAGGGGGCAAGCGUUAUCCGGAAUUACUGGGUGUAAAGGGUGAAUAGGCGGCAUGGUAAGCCAGAUGUGAAAGCCUUGGGCUUAACCCGAGGAUUGCAUUUGGAACUAUCAAGCUAGAGUACAGGAGAGGAAAGCGGAAUUCCUAGUGUAGCGGUGAAAUGCGUAGAUAUUAGGAAGAGCACCAGUGGCGAAGGCGGCUUUCUGGACUGAAACUGACGCUGAGGCACGAAAGCGUGGGGAGCGAACAGG